AUCAUAAAUUCGCUGAGUCUUCUUGAGGACAAUGAAGAAGAGCGGGGGAACCAAACGGCGCUUAUCGUUAAAGACAAGCGUCAGGGGUGAAUCGGCAUAACAACCGCCGUAGGGCUAUCUAAUGGCCCGAAUCCGUCAGCUAACCUCGUAAGCGUUAUUGGAAUGGGUA
rnacentral:sRNA from 2 species